CACGGCGGAGCCACGUCGGGGCGGGAUGCCGCGGCGGCGGCCAGAGUCCCGGCGCUGCCCGGCGGCGGGCGGCAGGGGUAGCGCCGCACUCUCUCCUGCCACCGUGCGUGCGUGUUUGCAAGCGGCUGCCGCUCCUCCUGCCUGCUGCUGCUUCCAGACCCACUUUCUCGCCCCCUCGCUCUGUGUCGGGAGAGGUACGUGUCGGAUGCUUUUAUACUGCCCUGCCUCCUUUCCCUGCUCCCCCCCUUUUCCUUCGCCCUCUCUGCAGCUCCUGCUCCAGGCUUAGCGUGUUCCCCCCAGCCCUGCUCCCCUUCUCCCCGUGCCGACCUGCUCCUCUCCAUGCCCUGCUUUGCCAGGACAUCCACACCCUUUCCCACACACGGUUGCACCUUGCAUCCUGACUGCGAUCUUUGCUCGGCUGGGAUGGAUCUGCCCUGCCCACGUCUCUUUCAGUUGGUCUGUGCAUCCCUAGCGGGACUCCAGUCGGGGUUUGACAGUCCUUACUCUCCCUGUUACUUGCUGACCUGUAUUAGCACUGUGGAAAAACCUUUCUCUGUCAGAUGGGAGGACCUCAAAUUUAAAAGUAAUGUGGACUUGAAAACGAGGGUUGGAUUAUCACUUGCUAUAAGUCAAUAUCUCAGCAUCUGGUCUGAGGGAGCUGGACCUCUUUGUGGGUGCUCAAGGUGCAGCUCAGUGUAACAAGAACAAACACAGCUCAAAUCAACUUGAAGCAUAAAUAAAGCAACCUAACAAAAAAAUGGGAA